GUUAAUCAACUUUGAUAGAAACUGUAAACAGAAGGAAGACAGUAGCCAAAACUUACUUGUUGAACCGGUGAGACUGAUGCUUCCCUGUGAUUUUCGAAGUCAAUUUAAAGGCCGAUGUAGUGUUCUCAUUAAAACCAUUGAAUGAUAUAGUUAUUAUUUUUCUUUUUUUUAAUUAUUGAGUUUCUGUUCUAGCAAUGGUUGGAUCGGUAUCUUCUCAGGAUACAUGGCCCCGGUGGUUCUCCGUUCCAAUGGAUUUCUCGUAAUAAUGAGAUGUUAGAUAGUUUUGGAGGGUGCAUUAAAAGCCUACAGGAGCAAGGCGUUGAAAGAAAUUCUGUUGCGAAAACACUGCUUGGAUGUUUUGUAGAUGUAUUCAAUAUGUACCACAACCUCGCAGAGCUAAGGGAUCCGUUUGGGGACACCUGUUCUUCCCUUCAAGGAUAAACAGUCAGAUACUGCCACAAACGAUCAACUGGAUCAAAUUAGGCAGUCGAUUAAUAAACUAUUCACAGUUGAGGAAAGCGUCCUAGUUGAAUUUAUAGCCAUGCACAAAACGGUUGCAGAAGUUUCUUAUAUGCUAGGAGAUGCUUUUACAACUGGUGGUACUGGUAUGAGGGGUUUGAGUGAUGUUACGCAUCCUGGGACUUCAAGCAAGCACGGUGACCAAUUAAUGGAUUUCAAUCUCAAUGAUUUCCCUUGGGAUAAGCACAAUGUUCCUAGUGCUACGAUUGGU